rnacentral:misc_RNA from 1 species
GAUGAAGAACGUAGCGAAAUGCGAUACUUGGUGUGAAUUGCAGAAUCCCGUGAACCAUCGAGUCUUUGAACGCAAGUUGCGCCCGAAGCCAUUAGGCCGAGGGCACGCCUGCCUGGGCGUCACACGUCGUUGCCCCCCCAUCUACUCCUUCGGGAUUGCGGGGGGCGGAUGAUGGCCUCCCGUGCGCCUCGUCGCGCGGUUGGCCUAAAUGCCAAGUCCUCGGCGACGCACGCCACGACAAUCGGUGGUUGCGAAACCUCGGUUGCCUGUCGUGUGCGGUCGUCGCGCAUCGAGGGCUCGAAAAAAUUGCCGGGCUUCGGCUCGACUUUCAACGCGACCCCAGGUCAGGCGGGGUUACCCGCUGAAUUUAAGCAUAUUCAAUAAGCGGAGGA